rnacentral:tRNA from 1 species
CAUAGUGUAAUGGUUUCAUCACGGCAGGUUCUGAUCCUGCAGAUCUGAGUUCGAUUCUCAG